rnacentral:rRNA from 1 species
GACGACGCUGGCGGCGCGCCUAACACAUGCAAGUCGAACGGAGUUCCCCUUCGGGGGAGCUUAGUGGCGGGCGGGUGAGUAACACGUGAGGAACCUGCCUUUGAGAGCGGGAUACCGUCUGGAAACGGACGUUAAUACCGCAUAAUGCAGCGAGGCCACAUGGCCAUGCUGCCAAAGAUUUAUCGCUCAAAGAUGGCCUCGCGCCUGAUUAGAUAGUUGGCGGGGUAACGGCCCACCAAGUCUGCGAUCAGUAGUCGGACUGAGAGGUCGAACGGCCACAUUGGGACUGAGAUACGGCCCAGACUCCUACGGGAGGCAGCAGUGGGGAAUCUUCCGCAAUGGACGAAAGUCUGACGGAGCAACGCCGCGUGAGUGAAGAAGGUUUUCGGAUCGUAAAGCUCUGUCUUCAAGGACGAAUGUAGAUAUUGUGAAUAAUGAUAUUUAAUGACGGUACUUGAGGAGGAAGCCACGGCUAACUACGUG